UACUUAGAAGUUCUGUACGAUAGAACGAAGCGGCGAACGGGUCGAGGGAGUAAGGCUCGUGCUGUGGUGCGCAGCCUCGAACAGCCCUCCGUGCCUUCCUGCUUGUCUCAAGAUGGCCACUAGGCACAACAGCGACUGCCACAGUAUCCUAGACGCCACGUGCACCUGUUCCGCUACCCCGACGGUUGGAUGGAGGAGAAGUGGUGUCACGUACACCUAAGAACCCGAUGGUGUUGAACCUAGUCGAAAAAGUUCUCCCCUACGAACGGUAAGUCUCCCUGUCCUCGCGCUACAGUUCGUCGUCGUCGUCCAAGACGUCGACUGCUGGGACCACUCAGGUGCCAGCACGAGUUGAGGGCGGUCGUCCCGCGCUUCCUCAAAGGGGAACUUGGGGUACUGGACUAAGAGUCCAACUAAACUUGUUACAUAUUCCAGCGGUGACGACCGGCUCAACCUAUGGGUAAACACCAGGAAAAAAGGAACAAGAACAACAUAUCUACUGUCAAGUACCUAAAGACUAUACUAACGAAGUCACUACUAAAAACGUCUUGGUGUACGGCUACCACGUGAACGGAAACCUUAAUUUCUAGUCGAAUGAUGUGAUUGGUCUAUAGUAUAUAUUUAUGAGAUGAGAUGUCGUCAUACUUCCCUAAAGUCCCGAUCGUUUAUACAAUUUCUAUCUAUGUCUCUUUCCGCUAAUCCCCUCACCUAAGGCUAUUACUACGCUUUUUUUAAGGAAACCCAGCUUGUGUAUGAGAACUUUCUUUCGUUCUUCGAAGAACCAUUACCUCUACCAAGAGAAUAUAAACCAUCCUCAGUCUUUUUUAGGUCGUACCUUUUUGUGGUAUAAGUUGUACCACAUUAAUACUACUAGAUUUGCUCAUAAGGACCUGAAGACUAACAAAGAGUGACGGUACUGGUUAUGCCCUACUACCACCGAAGAAGUUUAUACACGUUCUAUACAGGAGAAAUCGUAGUGACCUAAAAACUUUUGCAAUAUAGACUUAAAUCUCACGUGAAGACGUUUUUUCUAAAACAGGACUAAUGAUAAAGCUAAAAUAAAGACAUCCGUGAUACUUUACUAGCUUACGGCGAUUAGUAAAACCUCCAAACAACAUCCCACGAGAUGGUCCAGUAUUAUACGUGGGUGUGUUAAGUUCAAGUAUAAGACCUUCCUGUAACUGGUUGCUUGGAACAUCAUUACAAUGUCCAGUAUUUUAACACAUAAGGAUGCUUGGUAGUAACGUACACACGUCACCAAUCUCUAAAACAUCACCUAUUAGUUAAUAGAAAUAGACGAAGAUUGAGUUCCUUAGUAUGACGUUGUAAAGGAGGUCACGUCCGUUUGAGUUUACUAUCAAUCAUUUGAACCAAUCAUUAUAAAAAACAAAAGAAUGGAACGUAAACACUAUGCAGUGACUUGUACAAAUAAUCAAACAGUGCAGUGAGGACGAACUGUACGGUUAAGUGUUUCCCGUCGGGCCACGUGUAGCGAGGGCGAACGCGUCCCAGGCCCCUUGCCAGGCUGGUGAACUGUACGGUUAAGUGUUUUUACUUUCUUUAGGUCUACUGGACACUUGGAGGGACAACUGUAUUUUAAUUACAACAAAAUACAGAUUCGGAGUAGAUAGUAUAUGUACAUGUCAAUGCCACCACCUAAAGUUAAGGACAUUGAAUCAAAAGAAUGCUCUACAUUGAGUAGAUGAUUAUAUAUCAUCAUACAUAUUUCAAAGAAUUAGUUCGAUCGGAUUACCUGCCGUGGUAUGAAUCGGUUCGAUUAUCUGCUGGGUACGGGUCAUGUUAAAAAAGUUGACGACAUAUUACCAUAAUACUAAAGCACGAGAAAAAGUCUUUUAGACCCACUACUUCGACUGAGUUAUCUAGGUCUAAAACCGGCGAUUUCGACCAUCACGUAGGAACAGAUACCACACCUGUCUCCCUCUUUCCUCCGUUAAUUGAUGUCAGACUUACAUUUUAUUUUAACAGAUUUAAUUUUAUCUUAGACUAUUUUGUUUUGUUUCCUCCAGUAAUUGAUCUCUUAAUCCGACCUGAUCUAUAUGUAUAAUAUGACAUAAAAGGGUGAUUUUUGUAGGUCGCCCCUCCGACUACGUCGUGAUAGUGCUUAACAAGGUCGAGAAGGACUUAGCUAUACCAAACAGCUACAACCCUAGGAGCUACCACUAAUCGUUGACUUAGCACCUACCUUCAUGUGAAAUGAAGUUUCCUAACGUGUGUAUACUUCGCCAACAACUACUUCAGUACCUUUUCCCUGAACGGUUACGAUGUGUCAGUACUUUAGAAACAGACAAAGUGAGAAGAAGGUAUGUACUAUACGUUCCAAGAACCCUACGAGCCAUGACAACGGUCCUCACGACUUCGUGUUUUAUGUUCCCCCACGUACUCCUCCGCUCUCGACUGCCGUUGGUAACCUCCUCCAGACCAGCCAGCUUCUCAUUCCGCACCCGUUGAGGCCUCUCUAAACCGAACUCGUUUACAGCUACGACGACGUUACUCUUCUGGGAAAGACGUACAUUAAGUCCGUUAUCGACUCGAGGGUCGGAGGAUUCUGACCGUACCCGUGUAGUUAUUCCCGUACCUCGGGUAGUUUCUCCUCCAGCCUCGCCGCAACCUGGACCUAGUUGAGUAGAUUUAGUUCGCCGGCCGGAGCCGACCCUCAGUGGUUGCGAGGUGGACCUGCCGCAGCCGACCCUGUCGAGGUGUACGUUACCGACCGGCCCCUGGUCUGGAGCUGUCCUUGCACAACGGGAAACUCGGCCACGUCUCGCUGUUCAAGCAUCGUAGCAAUAUCAAAAAACGUGUUUCUAUCUGGGACAUCAUGACUAGUCCACUUUGUCUAGCUACACCGUGACCAUGACUUGACUUCGUUGUUAAACAAGUUGUUUUAUACUAGGUUUAUCUCGCGUAUAAUCAAAGAUAUUGUUCCUAGCAGCGGCCAAAACACGGUAAGUACACAAAAAAG
rnacentral:rRNA from 1 species